rnacentral:tRNA from 1 species
ACAUAAGUCUAGUUUAAUAAAUAAUUUCAUUUUGUCAAAAUGAAGAUGCCAAAAGCGACUAAUUA